GAUUUCUCGGCAUCAGCUUUUGGCCGGCCACGGUUUCGUGUGUUAGUGCCUUGAGCUUUGUCGAUCCUUCCAAUCGCUGCUUACUAUUCUUCAUUGAUUGGUAAGUAGUAUUGGAUCUUUUACUUUGAAAAAAUUAGAGUGUUUCAAGCAGGCUUUAUGCUAUGAAUACAUUAGCAUGGAAUAAUAAUUUAGGACUUCGGUCUUAUUUUGUUGGUUUCUAGGACUGAAGUAAUGAUUGAUAGGGAUAGUUGGGGGUGCUAGUAUUCAGCGCGGAGAGGUGAAAUUCUCGGAUUCGCUGAAGACUAACUUAUGCGAAAGCAUU
rnacentral:rRNA from 1 species